UACGGGGGGGGGCAAGCGUUGUUCGGAAUUACUGGGCGUAAAGGGCUCGUAGGUGGCCAACUAAGUCGGACGUGAAAUCCCUCGGCUUAACCGGGGAACUGCGUCCGAUACUGGAUGGCUUGAGUUCGGGAGAGGGAUGCGGAAUUCCAGGUGUAGCGGUGAAAUGCGUAGAUAUCUGGAGGAACACCGGUGGCGAAGGCGGCAUCCUGGACCGACACUGACGCUGAGGAGCGAAAGCCAGGGGAGCAAACGGG
rnacentral:rRNA from 1 species